GUCUCACCAUGGAAGAAAAUAUUGAGGUUCGGAAGAAAAGGUAAGUUGAGCCCUAGGUUUAUUGGCCCAUAUGAAGUCAUUGAACGUGUGGGACCAGUAGCCUACAGGCUAGCUUUACCACCAGAGCUGGAUAAGAUCCACAAUGUGUUCCACGUGUCUAUGCUAAGACGAUACCGCUCAGAUCCUUCACAUGUCAUCUCCAUGGAAGAAAUUGAAGUACAACCGGAUUUGACAUAUGAAGAGGAACCCAUACGAAUCCUGGCUCGGGAAGUAAAAGAGUUGAGGCAUAAGCAGAUUCCACUGGUGAAAGUGCUUUGGAAGCACCACAACACCGAGGAGGCAACUUGGGAAAGUGAAGAGAUGAUGAGGCAACAGUUCCCUCAACUGUUUGCAUCAGGUACUGGAGAUUUAGCUGGGGAGUCCAGCAGACCGCAUACUGGGUGAGCCAUCAUAUCUGCACUCAGAGUUCAGAGUCACCUCACAUUGCAGUGCAUUUGGUAGGACAUUAGGCCAUCUGGGAUAUUUUGAUAUUUUGUUAUUUUGUAUUUUGUAAACUUUUGUUAUGUACAUUAUAAACUCAUGUACUUAUAUUUUUGCUGUAAUUAUCUAUGAACUGUGUUCAGAAUUAAAUAUGAGUAUUUCUCAUUGAACUUGGUGAAUAUGAGUUGAAUGUAAAUUUUGGAAUACUGAAUUGAUUUGAGAAAUGAUUGAGAUUGAGAUUGUAAUUA